GCCGCUCCGCCGCGGGGCCCCGCAGGCCGGCGGCGGCCUCCCCCUGCUCGUCCCGGCUCGGUGCCGGCGGCGGUUCGGUGUCGGCGGAGGGCUCGGUGCCCGGCUGCCCUCCCUGCCUCCGUCAGUCCGCCCGUCCCUGCCGCGGCCGCCUCAGCCUCUCGCCGCGCUGCCCCCCCGCCGCCGCCCGGCCUGACGGGCCGGCUCCGCCGCUUCCGCCUUCCCCAUGCUGCGGGCGGCGGCGGGCAGAGGGCAGAGGGCAGGGUUCGCUCCCUCCCUCUCUUCCCUUCGCCGCCGUUCCCCGGCCGCCCGGGCGGGCGCUGCCCGGCGCCCCGAGCACCCCCGCUGCCCGCGGGCAGGGCCGGACAGGCCGCGGCUCCCCCGGGCGUGACGGAGCGCUGGGCUCCCGGGGCCCCCUCCCGGCUGGGAGCCCCGUCCCGUUAAUUAAUUCAUCGCUAUUUUUGUUUCUAGAUCGAGCAGAGAGCUCUGCAGGAGCCGUGGAGAGGAGGGUACUUGGCUAAAGGCGCCUAUUGUUGUUAUUUUUAUUCAAUAUUAGGGGCUCGGGGGUGGCCACGGAGCCAGCCGGGAGCGAUGCUGCUCUGGGACCCAUCGUGCUGCCAGCCGUAGAAUAAUCUUCAUUGAACUAAGUAGAAACCAAGCAUGAUGAACUCAUCAAAUCAGAACAAGAAAUGAAUUUUAGGAGCUGACUGGACUACAUGUGCACACAGCUGAACAGGGAAAGGUGGAAGAACUUUUGUACUGCUGCAGACCAUAUAUCAAUGCAAUACCCAAUCUGCCUUUCCUGCUUUCAAAAAUAAACAGAUUAUUAGUCCUCUACUCCU